UCUGGAGCCCUUGGUGUCCUGUAAAUGAAGGAGGAGGUCCUCAAAUUCCUUUCAGUAGGAACCUAUGGUGGCAACAACCUUGACUCCAAAUAGAGCAGUAUGCCUACAAAAGGAAAAGUGAUGGCAUCGGCAUCAUACAUCUAAUCAGUAUGCCAUCACUUUUCCUUGAGAAGGACCUGGGAGAAGCUUCUGGUGGCAGUUCAUGCCAUUGUUGCCAGUGAAAACCCUGCUGAUGUCAGUGUCAUAUCCUCUAGGAAUACUGGCCAGCAGGCUAUGCUGAAGUUUGCUGCUGCCAGUGUAGCCACUCCUAUUUCUGGCCACUUCACUCCUGGAAACUUCACUAACCAGAUCCAAGCAGCCUUCCAGGAACCAUGUCUUCUGGUGGUUAUCAAUCCCAAGGCUGACCACCAGGCUCUGACGGAGGCAUCUUACAUAAAUCUGCCCACAAUUGCUCUGUGUAACAGAUUCUUCUCUGUGCUAUGUUUACAUUGACAUGCAAUGCAACAACAAGAGCUCUCACUUGGUGGGUCUGAUAUGGUGGAGGCUGACUCAGGAAGUUCUGUGCAUGCAUGGCACCAUCUUCUGUGAAAUCCCAAGGAAGGUCAUGCUGAUCUCUAUUUCUACAGAGAUCCUGAAAUGAUUGAAAAGGAAGAGCACAAGCUGCUGCUGAAAAAGCUGUGAUCAAGGAGAAAUUAAUGGACUGCUUCCGUUCUGAGUUCAGUGCCACUCAACCUGAGGUUGCAGACCAGUUUGAAGGCAUACAGGUGCCCUCUGUGCCUAUUCAGAAAUUCCCCACUGAAGACUGGCCCACAGCCUGCCUCUGAAGACUGCUUUGCAACUCCCGCUGUUCAGGCCACUGAAUGGGUAAGAACAACCACUACGUGGUCUUA
rnacentral:lncRNA from 1 species